UACGGAGGGUGCGAGCGUUGUCCGGAAUCACUGGGCGUAAAGGGCGCGUAGGUGGCCCGUUAAGUGGUCGGUGAAAUCCCGGGGCUCAACUCCGGGGCUGCCGAUCAGACUGGCGAGCUAGAGCACGGUAGGGGCAGAUGGAAUUCCCGGUGUAGCGGUGGAAUGCGUAGAGAUCGGGAGGAAUACCAGUGGCGAAGGCGUUCUGCUGGGCCGUUGCUGACACUGAGGCGCGACAGCGUGGGGAGCAAACAGG
rnacentral:rRNA from 1 species